UGGGGAAUAUUGGGCAAUGGGCGAAAGCCUGACCCAGCGACGCCGCGUGGGCGAUGAAGGCCUUCGGGUUGUAAAGCCCUGUCAUGCGGAAAGAACGACCCUGUGACGCAUACUCACAGGGAGUGACGGUACCGCAGGAGGAAGCACCGGCUAACUCCGUGCCAGCAGCCGCGGUAAUACGGAGGGUGCAAGCGUUGUUCGGAAUUAUUGGGCGUAAAGGGCGCGUAGGCGGUAAUGUAAGUCAGAUGUGAAAUACUCCGGCUCAACCAGAGAACAGCAUCUGAAACUGCGUAACUAGAGUACAGAAGAGGGAAACGGAAUUCCAGGUGUAGAGGUGAAAUUCGUAGAUAUCGGGAGGAACACCAGUGGCGAAGGCGGUUUCCUGGUCUGAUACUGACGCUGAGGCGCGAAAGCGAGGGGAGCAAACAG
rnacentral:rRNA from 1 species